CGGACGGGUGAGUAACGCGUGGGUAACCUACCCUGUACACGCGGAUAACAUACCGAAAGGUAUGCUAAUACAGGAUAAUAUAUUUGAGAGGCAUCUCUUGAAUAUCAAAGGUGAGCCAGUACAGGAUGGACCCGCGUCUGAUUAGCUAGUUGGUAAGGUAACGGCUUACCAAGGCGACGAUCAGUAGCCGACCUGAGAGGGUGAUCGGCCACAUUGGAACUGAGACACGGUCCAA
rnacentral:rRNA from 1 species